UACGUAGGGUGCAAGCGUUGUCCGGAAUUAUUGGGCGUAAAGAGCGUGUAGGCGGCCAUACAGGUCAGCUGUGAAAACUCGAGGCUCAACCUCGAGACGUCGGUUGAAACCGUAUGGCUAGAGUCCGGAAGAGGAGAGUGGAAUUCCCGGUGUAGCGGUGAAAUGCGCAGAUAUCGGGAAGAACACCCGUGGCUAAGGCGGCUCUCUAGUACGGUACUGACGCUGAGACGCGAAAGCGUGGGGAGCGAACAGG
rnacentral:rRNA from 1 species